CCACAUCUUAGCUAACAAAACUUCAUUUCCACUCAUGGUUAGGGAGAAUACCUGGAUACAACAAUCAAAAUAGAAGGAAAGGAAAUGGUUAAUUAUCAGAACUGCAGUCUACAACAACAUUGCAACAGGAAACCCAAUUGCAAACCAAGAAGAUGCACAAUAUCCUAAAUCUAGCUUCAACUGAACAGAGACCCAAUAAACCUCCAAAACCAAACCUUUAAUAACCCAAAAUCAGUCCAUUUUAAACCCCC
rnacentral:lncRNA from 1 species